rnacentral:rRNA from 1 species
AUGCACGCUGGCGGCGUGCCUAAUACAUGCAAGUCGCGCGAACAGACGAGGAGCUUGCUCCUCUGACGUUAGCGGCGGACGGGUGAGUAACACGUGGAUAACCUACCUAUAAGACUGGGAUAACUUCGGGAAACCGGAGCUAAUACCGGAUAAUAUAUUGAACCGCAUGGUUCAAUAGUGAAAGACGGUUUUGCUGUCACUUAUAGAUGGAUCCGCGCCGCAUUAGCUAGUUGGUAAGGUAACGGCUUACCAAGGCAACGAUGCGUAGCCGACCUGAGAGGGUGAUCGGCCACACUGGAACUGAGACCCGGUCCAGACUCCUACGGGAGGCAGCAGUAGGGAAUCUUCCGCAAUGGGCGAAAGCCUGACGGAGCAACGCCGCGUGAGUGAUGAAGGUCUUCGGAUCGUAAAACUCUGUUAUUAGGGAAGAACAAAUGUGUAAGUAACUAUGCACGUCUUGACGGUACCUAAUCAGAAAGCCACGGCUAACUACGUG